GGGGCUGUAGCUCAGUGGCACAGCACUUGCCUAGCAUGUGUGAGGCACUGGGUUCGAUCCUCAGCAGCACCA
rnacentral:tRNA from 2 species